rnacentral:rRNA from 1 species
AUUGAACGCUGGCGGCGUGCUUAACACAUGCAAGUCGAACGAAGUGGCGAACGGGUGAGUAAUGCGUAAUCAACCUGCCCUUCAGAGGGGGACAACAGUUGGAAACGACUGCUAAUACCGCAUACUGAAGGAGGGGAUUGUGUCGGAUUAGCUAGUGGGAGGGGUAACGGCCCACCAAGGCGAUGGUUAGUAGCCGGUCUGGGAAGUUGGACGGCCAAAUUGGGACUGGAGCACGGGCCAAGCUCCUACGGGGGGCAGCAGUGGGGAAUCUUCCGAAAUGGAGGAAAGUCUGACGGAGCAACGCCGCGUGAGUGAUGACGGCCUUCGGGUUGUAAAGCUCUGUUAAUCGGGACGCGGUACCGGAAUAGAAAGCAACGGCUAACUACGUGCCAGCAGCCGCGGUAAUAC